UACAGAGGGUGCGAGCGUUAAUCGGAUUUACUGGGCGUAAAGCGUGCGUAGGCGGCUUUUUAAGUCGGAUGUGAAAUCCCCGAGCUUAACUUGGGAAUUGCAUUCGAUACUGGGAAGCUAGAGUAUGGGAGAGGAUGGUAGAAUUCCAGGUGUAGCGGUGAAAUGCGUAGAGAUCUGGAGGAAUACCGAUGGCGAAGGCAGCCAUCUGGCCUAAUACUGACGCUGAGGUACGAAAGCAUGGGGAGCAAACAGGAUUAGAUACCCUGGUAGUCCAUGCCGUAAACGAUGUCUACUAGCCGUUGGGGCCUUUGAGGCUUUAGUGGCGCAGCUAACGCGAUAAGUAGACCGCCUGGGGAGUACGGUCGCAAGACUAAA
rnacentral:rRNA from 1 species